GGUCCCCUGGUGCUCCUCAAUUCCUGUGUCCUGACAGUUCUGCGAUGGUUCCUCUGAGCAGCAGUGGUGGUCCUAUCUGGACUUACAGGCCUGUCUGCACUCGUGGGAGGCUUGCUCUCUUGUGGCACCACCUGGGUAUGGAGCCCUGUGGCAGAGGACCUGCUCCAGGCACAAGCAGAAACGGGAAGGUUCCUGUCCCAGGCAGCUUCUUGGCUCCUGUGUCCUGAGGGUUCCGGGUCAGUUCCUCUGAGCAGCGGUGGUGGUCCCACUCAAAGGCUGUCUUCACUCCUUGGAGGCUAGCUCUCCUCUGGCGCUGUUUGGGUUUGGAGCCCUGUGGCAGAGGAUCAGCUCCAGGUGCAGACAGAAACUUGAAGUCUCCGGUGUCAAUGUUUUCUGUGGUAUGUUCUGCACCUGUGAUUCUCUCUUGCAUUUCUUGUAUUCUGUUGGUUAUGCUUGCAUCUAUGACUCUUGAUCUCUUUCCUAGUUUUUCCAUCUCUAGAGUUGUCUUUUGUGAUUUCUUUAUUGUUUCUGUUUCUAUUUUAGAUCCUGGAUGGUCAUGUUCAAUUCUUUCACCUGUUUGGUUGUGUUUUCCUGCAGUUCUUUAAGGGAUUUCUUUAAGGUCUUCUUCCUGUUUACCUGUGUUCUCCUGUAUUUCUUUAAGGGAGUUAUUUAUGGUCUUCUUAAAAUCCUCUAUCAUUAUCAUGAGAUAUGAUUUUAAAUCAGAGUCUUGCUUUUCUGGUGUGCUGGGGUAUCCAGGACUUGCUGUGGUGGGAGAACUGGGUUCUGAUGAUGCCAAGUAGCCUUGUUUUUUGUUGCUUAUGUUUUUUGUUGCCUUUUGCUAUCUGGUUAUCUCUCAUGAUGGUUGGUCUUGCUGUCUCUGGUUGGAGCUUGUCUCUCCUGUGGACCUGUAAGCCUAUGUCUGUACUCCUGGGGGAACAGCCCAAGCUACCGGUGCAGAUGGGGACUGGAAGGAUCCUGUCCCUUUUGCUCCGCUGUUCUUGUCCCCUGUGUGCUCCUCGCUGGUCCUGCCCUGGACAGUUACUGGAGAAAAAGUGGCUAUCUCACCUCCGUGCUUGGGUGUGAGACCAUUCCUGGGAGACCAUGUCUCUCCUGGCAGAGCUUGUGUACAGAGCGCUGUGGAACAGCCCAAGCUCUAGGUGCAAAUGUUGACUGGAAGGAUCCUGUUCCAGCUGCUCCACUGUCCCUGUGCCCUGCACAAUCCUGGCUGGCCCUGCUCCUUACGGUUAUUAGAGAGAAAUUAGGAGAUCUCACCUCUUGACCCAGGAGUGAUACCACUCUCUCCUGGCAGGAUUUGUGCUUAGAGGCUGUGGAAUAGCCUCAGCUCCUGGGUACAGACAGCCUCACUGAAGUUUCAUAUAGCGGUUCAGAGCUUGCCUGAACUCCCCUUACAGCAGCCAGCAGUAGCACACAGAGCUUGACACACCAACCACUCCAGUCUCCUCAGCUACAACAUUGAACCAGUAGUCCUUCUUGUGUUUUUAACCUAAAUAUUUAUAAAAUUUAAAAAUCAAACUUCUGUGUUUUUGUGCAUGUGUGUAGGGAAGAUGAGUGCUGUAGCAUGCAUAUAGAGGCUAGAGGACAACCAGAAUUCUCUCCUUCCACGUGUGCACUCCAGGGCCUGAACUCAGCUUGUCAGUCUUGGCAACAAGUGCCUUUGCCAUUGAGCCAGAACCUAACCCUUUUCCAAAGGCUGCUAGUUUGGUGCUAGGGUUUAGCUCAGGAGCAAAGCAUUUGUUAAGGUAUGAUAUCCUGGGUUCUGUCCUUGUCACCAUGAAGCUAAAAGAUUGCCAUUUGAGCAAGGUCUUCUUCAUCACCCCUCUCUAAGACUGAUGCCUUCAUCCCUCUUUAAUUGCACCCUUGGCAGUUCCCCGAGGCUGGUCCAGCUAGCCAUCUGUUACAGAAUGCAAACCUGUGCUAUCAGCUUUCUUCAUUGAGAAAGUCUUACAGGAAAGGGCUAGGGUGGGGUGAUGAUUCUGUAGUGAAGGACUCACGUUACAAGAACGAAGACCAACGUUUGAUCUUUAGCACCCAUGUUAAACAAUAGAGCCAGGAGUAGUGGUGAGGCAGAGAAAGGCAGAUUCAUUGCCUCCCUGGCCAGCCAGUCUAGUCUAGCUGAGUUCCAAGGCCAGUGACAGAUCCUGUUUCAAGAAACCAAGGUGGACAGUGCCUAAAAAAUGGCCUCUACAUGUACUCACAUACACGUGCACAUAAACAUGUCUAAGUAUAAACAAUAUUAUCUGAACUAAACUGCUUAUUUGAUACCAUAACUGAUAGACUCCAGGGAACCAGUGACUUCUUCAUACUAACUGAUUGCAAGCUAUGGCUUGUCAGUAGCCUAAGACCAUGUGUCCACUAGCACUGUUCUAAAAUUAGUUUUCUUUACUGCCUGUGUUUGAAAUGCCAUCUCUGGGAGGGAGUCUGUGGACAGUGUGUCCCUGUUCCUCAGAGGGACUAAAGGCUAUCACUUAGUACCCUGCUGUUCACAGUAACAAUCAGAUCACAUAGGAAGUUCUAAAGUGUGGAUGCAUGGUGUCCCUGACAUCUUUGCUAUGACAAGUCCUUUGCUUCAAUGAGAUCGUGGUGUGCAUCUUUAGAAAACAGUGUCUAAGGGUAUACAUAUUUAAAAAUACCUUUAUGAGGGCUGGAGAGAUGACACAGCACUUAUAAACACUUGAUGAACAGUUCUUCCAGAGGACUGAAUUUAGUCCCCAUACCCAAAGUGGGCUGCUGACAGCCGUCUGGAGCUCCAGGGCAUGUGAUGUCCUCUGUAUCCCUGUGGACACUCACAUGUGUGCCACAUGCACAGAGAUACACACAGAUAAAUAAAAAUAAGACAAAUCUUUCAAAGAGUUUCAUGUAUUCUAGUAGAAUUAUACUACUCAAUGCUCAAGACCCUGGGUUUGAUUACAACUCUCAAAAAAGUGUCUUCUGACAUGGGCAAGUCACCCAUCCUUCCGUACCCUGUCAGCUGCCUCUUUCUCAGGGUCCACACUUUUCUCAGACACAGAAGCACCUUGCAUUUCAUUCUCUUUACUUUGACAUAGUGAUUGGAGGCACUGCAGAAGUCUUCAUUGUUGAGGAUUAGGUGUGUGGCGAAUGGGGGUGUGUGACAAGGUUUACCUGAGCAAUGUUCCACGCUUUAGAACUUCCUAUGUGAUCUGGUUGUUAUGAACAGCAGGGUACUAAGUGAUAGCCAUGGCCCCUCUGAGGAACAGGGACAGGCUGUCCACAGACUCCCUCCUAGAGCUGACAUCUCAGACAUAGGCAAUAAUUACAAAACUGUAAUUUUAGAAUGUAUGCGGCAGUACCACUGGACACAUGGUCUUAGGCCACUGACGAUGGGCCUGAAAUACUUUUUAAUAAAACGUUCUAGGCUGUUAAUAAACAUGCUGGCCUUCAAAGAUCUUUUUUCCUUGCCUCCAUUCCAAAGCCAGAAAGUACUGGAGAGAAGGAUUCUGGACCUGCCUUCAAACCUGCCCCUUGGUUUCUGACUGAGUUGGGUAUAUGAUACGUUUUUAAUUGCCGUG
rnacentral:lncRNA from 1 species